rnacentral:rRNA from 1 species
CCUACGGGAGGCAGCAGUGAGGAAUAUUGGUCAAUGGGCGCGAGCCUGAACCAGCCAAGUCGCGUGAGGGAAGACGGUCCUAUGGAUUGUAAACCUCUUUUGUCGGGGAGCAAAAGACGCCACGCGUGGCGUUCCGAGAGUACCCUAAGAAAAAGCAUCGGCUAACUCCGUGCCAGCAGCCGCGGUAAUACGGAGGAUGCGAGCGUUAUCCGGAUUUAUUGGGUUUAAAGGGUGCGAAGUGGGAAGGUCAAGUCAGCGGUAAAAUUUGGAGGCGAAACCUCUUCGUGCAGUUGAAACUGGUUGGCUUGAGUGCAUGAGAGGCAGGCGGAAUGCGUGGUGUAGCGGUGAAAUGCAUAGAUAUCACGAAGAACUCCGAUUGCGAAGGCAGCAUACCGGCGCGCAACUGACGCUCAUGCACGAAAGUGUGGGUAUCGAACAGGAUUAGAUACCCUGGUAGUC